rnacentral:rRNA from 1 species
AUACGUAGGGUGCAAGCGUUAAUCGGAAUUACUGGGCGUAAAGCGUGCGCAGGCGGUUCGGAAAGAAGGAUGUGAAAUCCCAGGGCUCAACCUUGGAACUGCAUUCUUAACUACCGAACUAGAGUAUGUCAGAGGGGGGUAGAAUUCCGCGUGUAGCAGUGAAAUGCGUAGAUAUGCGGAGGAAUACCGAUGGCGAAGGCAGCCCCCUGGGAUAAUACUGACGCUCAUGCACGAAAGCGUGGGUAGCAAACAGGAUUAGAUACCCUGGUAGUCCACGCCCUAAACGAUGUCAACUAGCUGUUGGGCUCUUCGGGGCUUAGUAGCGUAGCUAACGCGUGAAGUUGACCGCCUGGGGAGUACGGUCGCAAGAUUAAAACUCAAAUGAAUUGACGGGG